AUAGGAGUCCGGGCGGAGUCUUCCUGCAAUUAAAGUCAAAGGCGAAGUCCGGCUCCCGUAGGAGUCCGGACAAGGCUUACCAGCAGUUGAUGUUGAGGACGGAGCCCGGCUCCCGUAGGAGUCCGGGCGGAGUCUACUUGCGGUUGAAGUCGUGGGCGGAGUCUGACUCCCGUAGGAGUCCGGACGAAGUCUGUCUGCAGCCGUUGGAGUUGAGGACAAGGCCCGACUCCCAUAGGAGUCCGGGCGGAGCAAUGGGAGUUCACCAACAACCGUCGAA
rnacentral:lncRNA from 1 species